rnacentral:rRNA from 1 species
AUUGAACGCUGGCGGCAGGCCUAACACAUGCAAGUCGAACGGUAACAGGAAGAAGCUUGCUUCUUUGCUGACGAGUGGCGGACGGGUGAGUAAUGUUUGGGAAACUGCCUGAUGGAGGGGGAUAACUACUGGAAACGGUAGCUAAUACCGCAUAACGUCGCAAGACCAAAAAGGGGGACCUUCGGGCCUCUUGCCAUCGGAUGUGCCCAGAUGGGAUUAGCUAGUAGGUGGGGUAACGGCUCACCUAGGCGACGAUCCCUAGCUGGUCUGAGAGGAUGACCAGCCACACUGGAACUGAGACACGGUCCAGACUCCUACGGGAGGCAGCAGUGGGGAAUAUUGCACAAUGGGCGCAAGCCUGAUGCAGCCAUGCCGCGUGUAUGAAGAAGGCCUUCGGGUUGUAAAGUACUUUCAGCGGGGAGGAAGGGAGUAAAGUUAAUACCUUUGCUCAUUGACGUUACCCGCAGAAGAAGCACCGGCUAACUCCGUG